UCAAGAUGGCGGAAGCCGGCGAAGGGAAGAACUAUCUAUACGGGCUUCUAAUUUUGUCUCCUGUCCUCUCGUUCUUGUGUUUACUUGGGAUAUUUUACUCAUACUUGACUAGUAAGUCCCCCUUGGGCAGACUUGUACCCAGUCGUUAUUUGCUGUUGCGCGUACAUCCACAGGAAUCCUAAAGCAAAGACGGGG